rnacentral:rRNA from 1 species
CGGUAAUUCCAGCUCCAAUAGCGUAUACUAAAGUUGUUGCAGUUAAAAAGCUCGUAGUUGGAUUUCUGCGGGGACGGAGCGGCCGGACGCAACUUGCGUCUCGAGCUAGCGCUUUCCCCGCAUCCUGCCGCGAACCGUGCUACCAUUAGUUUGGUGGCGCUGGGGAUCGGCUCGAUUACUUUGAGAAAAAUAGAGUGUUCAAAGCAGGCCACACGCCUUGAAUAAGUUAGCAUGGAAUAAUGACUAAGGACUUUGGUUCUUUUCGUUGGUGUUCGGGACUGAAGUAAUGAUUGAUAGGGACAGUUGGGGCGGUCCGUAUUCCAAAGCGAGAGGUGAAAUUCUUAGACCUUCGGAAGACGAACAGCUGCGAAAGCGUUCCGCAAGGAUGUUCCCUUUGAUCAAGAACGAAAGUUGGGGGAUCGAAGACGAUCAGAUACCGUCGUAGUCUCAACUAUAAACUAUACCAGCUAGGGAUCGGCCAACGUUUAAUUAUUCGACUUGGUCGGCACCUUAUGAGAAAUCAAAGCAUCUGGGUUCCGGGGGGAGUAUGGUCGCAAGGCUGAAACUUAAAGGAAUUGACGGAAGGGCACCACCAGGCGUGGAGCCUGUGGCUUAAUUUGACUCAACACGGGAAAACUUACCAGGUCCAGACAUAGGAAGGAUUGACAGAUUGAUAGCUCUUUCUUGAUUCUGUGGGUGGUGGUGCAUGGCCGUUUUUAGUCGGUGAAGUGAUUUGUCUGCUUAAUUGCGUUAACGGACGAGACCCCAGCCUGCUAAAUAGCGCGGCCGAGCUUUGCUCGGUACGAGCUUCUUAGAGGGACCAUGAUGCGCGAUAGCACAAGGAAGUUUGGGGCAACAACAGGUCUGUGAUGCCCUUAGAUGUUCUGGGCCGCACACGGGCUACACUGGCGCCUGCAACGAGCAUAUCAGCUGGCCCGAGAGGGUCUUGGCUAAUCUUUGGAACCGGCGCCGUGCUUGGGAUUGACCAUUGCAAUUGUUGGUCAUGCAACGAGGAAUGCCUUGUAAACGCGAGUCAUCAGCUCGCAUUGAAUACGUCCCUGCCCUUUGUACACACCGCCC